rnacentral:rRNA from 1 species
GACGAACGCUGGCGGCGUGCUUAACACAUGCAAGUCGAACGGAAAGGCCCUGCUUUUGUGGGGUGCUCAAGUGGCGAACGGGUGAGUAACACGUGAGUAGCCUGCCCUUGACUUUGGGAUAACUUCAGGAAACUGGGGCUAAUACCGGAUAGGAGCUCCUGCUGCAUGGUGGGGGUUGGAAAGUUUCGGCGGUUGGGGAUGGACUCGCGGCUUAUCAGCUUGUUGGUGGGGUAGUGGCUUACCAAGGCUUUGACGGGUAGCCGGCCUGAGAGGGUGACCGGCCACAUUGGGAUUGAGAUACGGCCCAGACUCCUACGGGAGGCAGCAGUGGGGAAUAUUGCACAAUGGGCGGAAGCCUGAUGCAGCAACGCCGCGUGCGGGAUGACGGCCUUCGGGUUGUAAACCGCUUUCGCCUGUGACGAAGCGUGAGUGACGGUAAUGGGUAAAGAAGCACCGGCUAACUACGUG